rnacentral:rRNA from 1 species
AUUGAACGCUGGCGGCAUGCUUUACACAUGCAAGUCGAACGGUAACAGGUUAAGCUGACGAGUGGCGAACGGGUGAGUAAUGCAUCGGAACGUGCCCGAUCGUGGGGGAUAACGCAGCGAAAGCUGCGCUAAUACCGCAUACGAUCUGAGGAUGAAAGCGGGGGACCGUAAGGCCUCGCGCGAUCGGAGCGGCCGAUGUCAGAUUAGGUAGUUGGUGGGGUAAAGGCUCACCAAGCCGACGAUCUGUAGCUGGUCUGAGAGGACGACCAGCCACACUGGGACUGAGACAAGGCCCAGACUCCUACGGGAGGCAGCAGUGGGGAAUUUUGGACAAUGGGCGAAAGCCUGAUCCAGCAAUGCCACGUGCAGGAAGAAGGCCUUCGGGUUGUAAACUGCUUUUGUACGGAGCGAAAAGGCUCUCUCUAAUACAGGGGGCUCAUGACGGUACCGUAAGAAUAAGCACCGGCUAACUACGUGCCAGCCGCCGCGGUAACAC